CAGCAAUGUGUUACUCGUGUGCGUAUGUAGGCAGUAUUUUUAGUGGUGACCCUAAUAAACACUUUGCCUCCCACCUGUAGGUACAAAACUGCGGUGCUCUGAGGUUUGAGUCACUGGCAGCAGCGAGCCCACGGCCCAGCAUUGCUGGCUGUAUUAGUUAUCUCUGAAGAAUUACCAAUGGCCAAUCUGAAUGUAAAAAUAGCUGAUGACUGUUUGUUUCAUCUGUCUGUUACUCGACACCGCGUGGUUAUUCCGAUACUCAUCGUUUUUACUAAAAUAACCAUGUUCAGAGGAAGAGUCCGACGCACAUAAGUAAUGGGAACUGCUAAUAAUAAGCAGGCUGCUCUAAAAUGUGCUGGGGCUUUGACUUAAGGGAAGAAAGCACAGCCCUGCAUGUCCCUAUCAGGAAGCUGGAGCACAGGAGGUAAGGGGGAAGCAUCUGGGUGGUUUUAAAACAGGGAAAUUGUGGAGAAUGGUGGUUCUGAGUGUGUGAAUGUGUGUGCACUCAAGAAUCAGUAAUGUGAUUGAUCAGAUCAAACAUCAUUUACAUAUUUUCUUCAGUGAUUAGAGGUGGAAUGUCCUUUUAUUUUGUCCAGCUUUUUUUUUUUUUUUUCUCAGAGAAAUGCAGGAUUGUCUCUGAAAGUCUGUGUGUGGAAAGAGACAUACACAUAGAUUUGUUUCCUGUGAAUACUGUUUAUGACAUGUAAUUAUUUUGCAAAGGGGCAUGAUCUUUUUAAAAGAGUGCUAAAUUGAUAUGAAGUUCAUUUAAUUUUUGUACAUUGUGCUGUAAACAACUUUAAGGAAAUAUACAUUGGUUUUAUUUUCCAGGAGAUUACUGCCUACAGAUAAGCUACUUUUUAAAACUUUGGUGAUUUUUAUAGGGUUUGGAAGGCUGUUGGAUGUUUCUAUUUUUGGAACAAAUAGGAAUAGAAUAAUUUAAAUAUUUUAUACAAAGUAACUACCAUGCUACAGACCCAGAAAAAUUGAGAUAGUUCAAAUACCUAUGCAGUGCUGAGAGGCCACUAUAAAUGACUGUGACUAUGACUUGUAUCCAAUUUUAAUUGUUGGAAGAUUUCUUAAAUGGCAUAGCUUUUUUUUACUCCAGUUGUUGAAAAACUUCUUAGUCUGCUGUCCUAAGGAACUGCAUUGUAUUAGUCUAGCUGCAGAACUCAUUAGCAAAAAAAAGAACAGAAAUAAUUAAAACUGAGCUUGAAAAGCCAAACCUGCUUAUGCUUUUUUAAAUGGCUUGUAGACUGGCAAUCUGAUUAAAUCUGAAUAGAAAAUCUUUUACAGCAGCAGACCAGAGUGACUGGUUCACACUGCAUUUGUACAGUACCAGCUAGAGGAAUCCUCUCUAGUCCUCUGCCAUUUCUGGGAGGGA
rnacentral:lncRNA from 1 species